GGGGGCGUAACGGUUUCGACGGGGGUGAUCUGAGUAGACGGCUGCGUGUCGAGGCUCCGUAACCUCGUAAAUCCAUCGGAAAAAUCAGAAACGCGAACGAUAACGCGUACGCUCUCGCUGCUUAAUAACCAGACAGAGAGCCGCCUCCCUCGGGUAGUUCUCGCGACUUGAGACGGGGUGUCAAAAUAAACGAGAUAGCUCCCUCGGCUUUCACCGCGAGGUGAGCGAAACCAAAGGUGGAAUAGCCCAAGGGGCCCUAUGUCGGUGGAGGGUCCCAGCGGGUGAAUCAAACACCGACUACACACGUAGUAGCCCCUGCCAAGCACUUUCGGACCCGGGUUCGACUCCCGGCGCCUCCAACA
rnacentral:tmRNA from 1 species